rnacentral:misc_RNA from 1 species
AAAAAUGACAGUGAUUAAUAAAACUUCUAAUCAAUACUCUUGGCAAACAGAGUGGAACAAAAAAACAUAAGUUAACAAAAUGGUUAUGAUAUAAGAUGUCAUACGUCCUGCUGCUAGUCUUUGGUACCUCCAUCUCUCUUCUAUCCAAAUGAAAAUUUACAAAGAGAAAGAAGGAAAAGAAGGGAGAGGGGACUAAGAGAGAAAGAAUGUAAUAGCAGAGUAACUAAAUAUGCCCCAAUAAACAAUAAUGAGAUAAUGUAAUA